ensembl:lncRNA
UAUUUACUCAUCUGUUCAGGAGCUCAUGCUAAUACUGUUACUUGACUCAACAUUUUGUGCCGUGACGCUCCCCUUCCGACCUGACAGAGCAUGAGAGGAUCUGCAGAGAAGAAUGGGAGGAACUCCCCAAAUACAGGUGUGCCAAGCUUGUAGCAUCAGACCCAAGAAGACUUGAGGCUGUAAUCGCUGCCAAAGGUGCUUCAACAAAGUACUCAGUAAAGGGUCUGAAUACUUAUGUAAAAUGUGACAUUUCAGUAGUUUUGGUUAUAUACACAUUUGCUGUACAAACCUGUUUUUGCUUUGUCAUUAUGGGGUAUUGUGUGUAGAUUGAUGAGGGAAAAAAACGAUUAACUUCCAUUUUCGAUUAAGGCUGUAACUUAAGAAAAUGUGGAAAAAGUCUCGUCAGGUUCCAUCUCUGAGCUAAUAGAGCACGUAGUACUUGGCACCAACCUUCCUCGCCCCACUGCUUCCCUCUACACUCAGCUCCUUGUCGGCGGUCAUCACUGCACCUGCCACCAUAAUGAAUUCACCCUCACUCUCGUCACAUUCACUUUCCUUCUCCAGAUCUCCCAGAAGGCCGGUGCAAUCCCCACUCCAUAUUUAUUUAGAAUAUGUUCCACUUUCCUCCUUUGUUUAUUUUUUUUAUCCUACCUCCAUUCAUCCCCACGCUGUGAUCUCACCGAGUCCCCCCUCAGCUGGUUGUCUAGGUCUUAAUUGACAGGAAAAACCCAAAAACUCGCAGAUCCUAGGCACUCUAUGGAAUGAGUUUGACACCCAUACCUUAGAAUGUCUGCCACUUGGCUUGACAGCUAUGUUGUUGACAGGUGAUUUUAUUGGGAGAAAUUGCCUUGAUAGUGAGAGGUUAUGAUAUCGGGUUGGUAGGCCUACUUGUGUUCAAAGUUUUGGGUGUCAGAGAUGUUAGGUCAUUGACGAUUAUUUGAAGAGUUUGAUCAACUUUGAAGAAAGGAAGUGUAGGGAGUGAUAGUAUGUGUUUUUCUGUUCCAGUUGAGUACUUGUGCAGAAGAGGGAAUAUCUGGAUGGUCAUGGAUGAGGAAUUCACUCCUUUAGACUCUCUGCUAGCUAUACACUCUCUCUCUCUCUCUCUCUCUCUCUCUCUCUAUCUAUCUCU